GGCUGCAGCCAUGACAAAGGAAAGAGGUCUCAGCUAUAAAUUCUUUGAGGGACUCCCUGGGAGAGGGACUGAGAAUGGCUACUGCACCUGAGGAAAUAUAACAAAACGGCGAAUAAUAGAAGAUGAAAAAGAAGGCUCUAGGCCUCACUCUGAGAAAUAUUGUACUUGUUAUUGCCUAUUGUGUGACUUUCAUAUAGAACAACAAAGUAUCGGCCGAUCAAUGGAAAUCGUGUUAAGCAGAGAUCGAGGCUCCAAAUGAGGGCAAAAGUGAAGACAAGAUAAAAUCCUGGAAAAUCUGACAAGGCCAGUGAUCCAUUUGAGCCAGAGAAAUUAUGAAUAAAAUAUUCAGUACAUGGCUGGAGGGACUAUUUCCAUUCUAAUCUUGUGAGAAAAGAAGAUACUGAAGUGCAAAAAUUAAUGACUUGCUGAAAGUCACACAGCAAGAGAAAAUAGCUAGAGAGGCAGCCCUCUGGCUCAUGUCCACAGAAUUAAAUGUCAUAUGCCCACAUCACCUUGUGCCCACAUCACAAUGCCAGUCACAAGCCACACUGCUAGCUAACUGGCUCCUAACAUCUGGUCAGUUUUAUUCCAGGGCUCUUGUUAUUCCUGGAUCCCAAACCACGUGGAGUGUUUCAUCUGAUAUAUGUCAGGGUACGGAUCACAUCAUUUUUAUUAGUGAAUUUUAUUUUCUUUAUUUCAAGACACCCUUUUUCAAAGGAGAAAUAAUUAUACUCAUAUCCAACUGGAGGAAAUAGUAUGGGGUUUCCAAAGAUUUGUAAGUAAUAAUUAACCAGAGUCCUCGAAUCCUUUGUGGAAAGAAUCAAGGCAUAAAUAUAUAACUUAUUUAAACAUUUAAUUUACCUUAACUAAUGACUAUAUCUGAGGAUGCACUUCCGGGUGAUGCCUGCGCUUUCACCCACGAUAGCCAUACCUUGCUGUGGUCAAAGGUCCUGGGAGAAUCCCAGGUACCUCCCCAAGGUGUGUACUAUGUUAAAGCUAUAAAGGAAGCCCAGACGAAGGGAAAGAUUCCUGGGAUAGCGACACCUUGACCAAGAUGGAGAGCCAGUGAUGGUGUCUUGGCUGCAUCUCAAUUCUGUCCACUCCGCUGGGUAGUGACUGCCCAGUGCCAUGCUGGGAACGUCCGAGAAUGGAAAAGGACUCCUGUCAGUUAGAGGUGGAGGAGUGACUGUGUAUGUGUGAAGUGUGGGCCCUCUGGAGGCAGGAAAAGACAGGGUGCUGGUGGACACACGGAAGACAUGUCCUGGGAGGCGGAGCUCAGCAUUCAGAAUGUCACACUCCCUUCUUUCCAGAAAUGGUGGAGACCAGAGAAUGCAGAUGAGAAGCUAGAGAGUGGAUGACCUUGCCUAAAACUAAGUGAAAGGUCUGCCCUGAAUAAUUCCAUACAAAAUGUUCUUCUUUUCUUCCUUCCUCCCUUCAUCCUUCCUUCCAUCCCUCCUUUCCUUCUAUCUAUUUAUUUGUCAUAAGAAUGUAUUUCUUCACCCACUUUGUCCUCAAAGGCUAUGAGGCAGCUUACAAAGAAAACAGAAAUUAAGUAACUGAAAAAUAUUGGGCAGGAAGAGGAGAGAGAGGGGAGGUGCACAUAGUAAAAGUGUAGCAGGAAUAAAGAUAAUGAUAUGACUAA